rnacentral:misc_RNA from 1 species
GACGAAGAACGCAGCGAAAUGCGAUAAGUAAUGUGAAUUGCAGAAUUCAGUGAAUCAUCGAAUCUUUGAACGCACAUUGCGCCCCCUGGUAUUCCGGGGGGCAUGCCUGUCCGAGCGUCAUUACAACCCUCAAGCUCAGCUUGGUGUUGGGCCCCGCCGCCCCGGCGGGCCCUAAAGUCAGUGGCGGUGCCGUCCGGCUCCGAGCGUAGUAAUUCUUCUCGCUCUGGAGGUCCGGUCGUGUGCUCGCCAGCAACCCCCAAUUUUUUUCAGGUUGACCUCGGAUCAGGUAGGGAUACCCGCUGAACUUAAGCAUAUCAAUAAGCGGAGA